AUUGAACGCUGGCGGCAGGCCUAACACAUGCAAGUCGAACGAGUGGCGGACGGGUGAGUAAUGUCUGGGAAACUGCCUGAUGGAGGGGGAUAACUACUGGAAACGGUAGCUAAUACCGCAUACCAUCGGAUGUGCCCAGAUGGGAUUAGCUAGUGGGUGGGGUAAAGGCGCACCUAGGCGACGAUCCCUAGCUGGUCUAAGAGUGUGACCGGCCACACGGGAACUGAGACACGGCCCAGACUCCUACGGGAGGCAGCAGUGGGGAAUAUUGUACAAUGGGCGAAAGUCUGAUAAAGCCAUGCCGCGUGUAUGAAGAAGGCCUUCGGGUUGUAAAGCUCUGUCAGCGGGGAGGCGUUACCCGCCGAGAAAGCACCGGCUAACUACGUGCCAGCAGCCGCGGUAAUAC
rnacentral:rRNA from 1 species